GUGCUCACUUCAGCAGCACAUGUACUAAAACUGAAGCAAUACAGAUAAGAUUAGCACAGCCCCUGCACAAGCACAAUGUGCAAAUUCAUGAAGCAUUGCAUAUUUUU